GAUACGCGCCGUUACUGACGGAUGUUCGUGGGUCACCACGGUGGAGCGGCGCGCAAGCCAUAGUGCCGACCGUCUGGGCAAGCAGC
rnacentral:ncRNA from 2 species